CCAGAGCCCCCGUCUCACACCUUCAGCAUAAUCAUGGUCAUCGCCGGGGUCCUGGUACUCCUGGGAGCUGUGGCUGCAGCUGUGAAUUGGUGGUGGAUGAAGCACUCAGGUGGGAAAGGAGGGAGCUACGCUCAGGCUGCCACGUGAGGCAGCUGCCUUGUGGGGACCGAGUGAUGGACGAUGUGUUCACGCUUCCACUUCCUGACUCAAGGACCUCUGAUUGGGGGACUGGCCAGCCCUGCUCCCUAGUCUUUCCUGUCAGCAGAAGUGGGCUGGGCCCUCCGGAUUCCUGUCUUUGCUUCCUGGGUCUGUGAGCUGCAACUUCCUGCUCCGUAUUGAAAUGAGACUGUGGAUUGA